UACGAAUGGAGCAAGCGUUGUUUGGAAUCACUGGGAUUAAAGCGUGCGUAGGCGGAAACAUAAGUCAGGAGUGAAAUCCCGGGGCUAAACCCCGGAACUGCUCUUUAAACUACGUUUCUAGAAUCCGAUAGAGGUCAGGAGAAUUCCCAGUGUAGAGGUGAAAUUCGCAGAUAUUGGGAGGAAUACCAGUGGCGUAGGCGCCUUACUAGGUCGCUAUUGACGCUGAUGCACGAAAGCUUGGGGAGCAAACAGG
rnacentral:rRNA from 1 species